rnacentral:misc_RNA from 1 species
CAGAUAUACAUUAAAUAUAUCUUCCAACCCCCUUUUAACUGUGAACUUUUGGUGUAAGUAAAGCUAGUGCCCCUAUUUGAAUAGGGGCUUUAGAUCUUACAAUCCAAAUUUUUUCAUAUACACAAUACCUAUGUAUGUACAAUGAAUGAUAAUGAAUAAAUAAAAA